rnacentral:piRNA from 1 species
UGGCACUAUUUUGCCAGAGGUGUGUCAUAUC